rnacentral:rRNA from 1 species
CCUACGGGAGGCAGCAGUAAGGAAUAUUGGACAAUGCCCGCAAGGGUGAUCCAGCCAUGCCGCGUGCAGGAAGAAGGCCCUAUGGGUCGUAAACUGCUUUUACACCGGAGAAAACCUCCCUUCGUGAAGGGAGCUGAUAGUAUGGUGAGAAUAAGCAUCGGCUAACUUCGUGCCAGCAGCCGCGGUAAGACGAAGGAUGCAAGCGUUAUCCGGAUUCAUUGGGUUUAAAGGGAGCGUAGGUGGACUGAUAAGUCAGUGGUGAAAUCUUCGAGCUUAACUCGGAAAUUGCCAUUGAUACUGUUAGUCUUGAGUACAGUUGCUGUGGGCGGAAUAUGACAUGUAGUGGUGAAAUACAUAGAGAUGUCAUAGAACACCGAUUGCGAAGGCAGCUCACAAAGCUGUAACUGACACUGAGGCUCGAAAGUGCGGGGAUCAAACAGGAUUAGAUACCCUGGUAGUCCGCACCGUAAACGAUGAUUACUCGCUGCUAGAGGGCAACUUUUAGUGGCUUAGCGAAAGCGAUAAGUAAUCCACCUGGGGAGUACGCCGGCAACGGUGAAACUCAAAUGAAUUGACGG